CAAUAGAAGGAAAGGAGCUGGGAAUUUCUUUUUCUGACAUUGAACGUAUUCUUGUGGGAGAUGUCGAGUGUCAACUUGUCAGUAGUGAAUACAAGCCCGGGACACGAAUAUUGUGUAUAACAAGACCAGCCAACAUCUCGGGCAUUGUGAACAUCACAGUUUGGAUUGCCCAAACCGAAGUGGUCACAUAUGAAAGCUACGAGUACUUGAUUGUCCGCUUGUUUGAUUUCUCUCCUUCGAGGGGUCCUCGCUCUGGUGGCACUCUUCUUAAGGUAAGCGGCACAAACCUGGAUGUUGGGGUCACGAUUGCCGUACGUGUGGCUGGGAUUCCGUGCAAUAUAGAGCAAUGGAACGGAAACGACACUCUAUUUUGUCGCACUGGACGUUUGGUGAACGAGACUACGAGCACAUUACCAAGCAGUUGGUUUAGCGGUAAUGUUCAAGUAUUAAUCGAUAACGCGAUUGCAACAAGCUUCAAGAACUUUUCCUAUACACCCGAUCCUACAAUA